UAGGGAAUAUUGCAAAAUGGGCGAAAGCCCGAUGCAGCAACGCCGCGUGGGCGAUGAAGGCCUUCGGGUCGUAAAGCCCUUUUUGAGGGGAUGAGGAAGGACAGUACCCUCAGAAUAAGCCUCGGCUAACUACGUGCCAGCAGCCGCGGUAAAACGUAGGAGGCGAGCGUUAUCCGGAUUUACUGGGCGUAAAGCGCGUGCAGGCGGAUUGGAGAGUUGGAUGUGAAAGCUCCCGGCUUAACUGGGAGAGGUCGUUCAAUACUUCCAGUCUUGAGUGCAGUAGAGGGAAGUGGAAUUCCGGGUGUAGUGGUGAAAUGCGGAGAUAUCCGGAGGAACACCAGUGGCGAAAGCGGCUUCCUGGACUGUAACUGACGCUCAGACGCGAAAGCUAGGGUAGCAAACG
rnacentral:rRNA from 1 species